rnacentral:rRNA from 1 species
CAAACGGGUGCGGAACACGUACGCAAUCUACCCAAAACUGGUGAAUAGCCCUCCGAAAGGAGGAUUAAUACACCGUAACUUAAUGAAGUGGCAUCACUUUAUUAAUAUAGCUCCGGCGGUUUUGGAUGAGCGUGCGGCUGAUUAGGUAGUUGGUUGGGGUAACGGCCCACCAAGCCUGCGAUCAGUAACUGGUGUGAGAGCACGACCAGUCACACGGGCACUGAGACACGGGCCCG